rnacentral:rRNA from 1 species
UACAGAGGUCUCAAGCGUUGUUCGGAUUCAUUGGGCGUAAAGGGUGCGUAGGCGGCGCGGUAAGUCGGGUGUGAAAUCUUGGGCUUAACUCCGAAACUGCAUUCGAUACUGCCGUGCUUGAGGACUGGAGAGGAGACUGGAAUUUACGGUGUAGCGGUGAAAUGCGUAGAUAUCGUAAGGAAGACCAGUGGCGAAGGCGGGUCUCUGGACAGUUCCUGACGCUGAGGCACGAAGGUCAGGGGAGCAAACGGG